rnacentral:ncRNA from 1 species
GGCUCAUUAAAUCAGUUAUGGUUCCUUAGAUCGUUUCUUCCUACUUGGAUAACUGUGGCAAUUCUAGAGCUAAUACAUGCAGUGAGCCCGAAGCCCCUCGGGGCGACGGGUGCUUUUAUUAGACCAAGAUCAAUCGGGCUUCGGUCCGUUUUGUGUGGUGACUCUGGAUAACUUUGUGCUGAUCGCACGGCCACGAGCCGGCGACGUUUCUUUCAAGUGUCUGCCUUAUCAACUGUCGAUGGUAGGUUAUGCGCCUACCAUGGUUGUUACGGGUAACGGAGAAUCAGGGUUCGAUUCCGGAGAGGGAGCCUGAGAAACGGCUACCACAUCCAAGGAAGGCAGCAGGCGCGCAAAUUACCCACUCCCGGCACGGGGAGGUAGUGACGAAAAAUAACAAUACGGGACUCUUUUGAGGCCCCGUAAUUGAAAUGAGUACACUCUAAAUCCUUUAACGAGGAUCCAUUGGAGGGCAAGUCUGGUGCCAGCAGCCGCGGUAAUUCCAGCUCCAAUAGCGUAUACUAAAGUUGCUGCGGUUAAAAAGCUCGUAGUUGGAUCUCAGUUACAGGCGGGAAGUGCGUGGACACCACGUUACGGCCCGUGCUGAACAUCAUGCCUGUCGUGGCUUGGUUCCCUUCAUCAGGUGCCUUGCUUUGGCCGGCGCGUUUACUUUGAAAAAAUUAGAGUGCUCAACGCAGGCGAUUCGCCUGAAUAACAGUGCAUGGAAUAAUAGAACAAGAUCCUGUUUCUGUUCUGUUGGUUUUUGGAAUACAGGAUAAUGAUUAAGAGGGACAGACGGGGGCAUUCGUAUUGCGGCGCUAGAGGUGAAAUUCUUGGACCGUCGCAAGACGAACUACUGCGAAAGCAUUUGCCAAGAAUGUUUUCAUUGAUCAAGAACGAAAGUUAGAGGUUCGAAGGCGAUCAGAUACCGCCCUAGUUCUAACCAUAAACGAUGCCAACCAGCGAUCCGCCUGAGUUACUCAAAUGACUCGGCGGGCAGCUUCCGGGAAACCAAAGUAUUUGG